rnacentral:rRNA from 1 species
GAUGAACGCUGGCGGCGUGCCUAAUACAUGCAAGUCGUGCGGCAGCGAGCCCUUCGGGGUGUCGGCGAGCGGCGGACGGCUGAGUAACGCGUAGGAACGUACCCCAAAGUGAGGGAUAACUGCCCGAAAGGGUGGCUAAUACCGCAUGUGCUCUUCGGAGUAAAGCUAUAUGCGCUUUGGGAACGGCCUGCGUUCGAUUAGCUAGUUGGUGAGGUAAAUGCUCACCAAGGCGACGAUCGAUAGCUGGUCUGAGAGGAUGAUCAGCCAGACUGGAACUGAGACACGGUCCAGACUCCUACGGGAGGCAGCAGUAGGGAAUUUUCCACAAUGGGCGAAAGCCUGAUGGAGCAACGCCGCGUGCAGGAUGAAUGCCUUCGGGUUGUAAACUGCUUUUAUGUGCGAAGAAUUUGACGGUAACACAUGAAUAAGGAUCGGCUAACUACGUGCCAGCCGCCGCCGUAA